rnacentral:rRNA from 1 species
GGCUCAGGACGAACGCUGGCGGCGUGCCUAACACAUGCAAGUCGAACGGGGAUUUGUUUCGGCAGAAUCCUAGUGGCGAACGGGUGAGUAACGCGUAGGCAACCUGCCCUCCGGCCGGGGACAACACUCCGAAAGGGGUGCUAAUACCGGAUACGAAGUCUGUGCCGCAUGGUACGGAUUUGAAAGAUGGCCUCUAUUUAUAAGCUAUCGCCGGGGGAUGGGCCUGCGUCCGAUUAGCUGGUUGGUGGGGUAACGGCCUACCAAGGCGACGAUCGGUAGCCGGUCUGAGAGGAUGAACGGCCACAUUGGGACUGAGACACGGCCCAGACUCCUACGGGAGGCAGCAGUGGGGAAUCUUCCGCAAUGGGCGCAAGCCUGACGGAGCAACGCCGCCGUGAGUGAGGAAGUUCUUCGGAACGUAAAGCUCUGUUGUUCCUGACGAACCUCCCCUCUAUCAACAACGGAGGGGACUGACGGUAGGGAACGAGGAAGCCACGGCUAACUACGUGCCAGCAGCCGC